UCUAUCUUCAGUUAGAUAGAACUUUGCCUCCCCCUCUGUGUCUCACUCACACAUGACAGUUUUCAGAGGAUUAGUUACCAUAGCAACAGAACACUGAGCAGAGAUGUAGAGAACUACAGAGAUUUCGGAAUGCUCAGUUCCUACAGAGGAGGGCAGAGCUUCCGGUUACAACUACAGACACGCCAGCUUGGUGGAAAACUUACUACAGACAAGGAGAUGUGUUUCUCCAGCUGGCGUCGCAGUUUGACUUCAGCUCCAUACUUUCCUGUUGUGCCAUUGUCUGCCAGGAUGAAGUGGGAGUGGAGACUGUUGAGAACCGUCAGCUUGCUCAUGGGGUUGGACAUAGUUUGGUACGGACGCACCACCUUGCAAAGAGAGAAGGCAGAAAGGGUCAGAAAGUGAGAAGGAGGAGAAGUGAAAAGUGAUAAAAGACAGCGGGAGAGACAGCAACCCACAGGUAGUGACAAGACCAGUAACUAGCAGGGAAGGAGUUGCAACGAGGUUUGGCAGUAAGACAUGAGGAGCAAUUUUGGAGCAGCAUUGUCAUUCCCUUUGCGCCUCUCCACAUCCCAUCAUCUCCCUCACCUCUUACAUGAAUCCUGGAAGGGUAGGACAGAGUUACCAUGGAUACUAGAACCGGGGCGGACCCAUCCCCCCCACCUCCACCCCAUCCUGUAUUCCUGUGACCCCCCCCUCUCCUGUCCCCCUUGAGGCAUAGCUGGGAACAGGAAUAGUGAUCUCUGGAUCUCUGAAGGAUGCUGGUGUGUAUUGGCGCGUUCAUACAACAGCUUGUUCAUACAACAGCACACGGAAGCACACACGCCAUUUAAGAGGAACACAAAUACCGACUCCCCAGGUGCAAAAGUGGUCAUACCACUUGAACUUUUUCACCUAUGUUCAUAUUAAAACCACAAAUAAGAAGACUUAAUGUGGUAGACCAACACAAAUCCAAGCAAAAAUGUAAAAAAUAUUGCUUGCAUUUCGAUAACACACCCUCAACCCAACCCACCUCUUAAGAACCUCAGCUACAACAAGUAUCCCUGCAGCCACGAUGCCUUACUGUGUGGGUGGGAAAUUAUGAUUCCCUCUUUACAUUAGCAUACAGGUAGGUUGUAUUUAGCACACGAGUACAGUGAGCAAUACAUAAAACAAGGCCACACUAUCCAGGCGUAUUUGCAAAAAGGAAAUUGGAAAAACAUGUAC